GAUGAACGCUGGCGGCGUGCCUAAUACAUGCAAGUCGAGCGAACAGAUGAGGAGCUUGCUCCUCUGACGUUAGCGGCGGACGGGUGAGUAACACGUGGAUAACCUACCUAUAAGACUGGGAUAACUUCGGGAAACCGGAGCUAAUACCGGAUAAUAUAUUGAACCGCAUGGUUCAAUAGUGAAAGACGGUUUUGCUGUCACUUAUAGAUGGAUCCGCGCCGCAUUAGCUAGUUGGUAAGGUAACGGCUUACCAAGGCAACGAUGCGUAGCCGACCUGAGAGGGUGGUUGGCCACACCGGAACUGAGACACGGGCCCGACUCCUAAGGGAGGCAGGAGUAGGGAAUCUUCCGGAAUGGGGGAAAGCCUGGCGGGGCCACGGCGCGUGAGUGGUGGAGGUCUUCGGAUCGUAAAACUCUGGUAUUAGGGAAGAACAAAUGGGUUAGGAACUAUUCACGUCUUGACGGUACCUAAUCAGAAAGGCACGGCUAACUACGUG
rnacentral:rRNA from 1 species